rnacentral:misc_RNA from 1 species
AAACCUUCAAGCUAUGCUUGGUGUUGGGUGUUUGUUCCGCCUCAGCGUGUGGACUCGCCUCAAAUUUAUUGGCAGCCGGUAUGUUGGCUUCGUGCGCAGCACAUUGCAAGCGAUUUCAGCAGACCCCCUUCCACAAGCCUUUUUUUA